rnacentral:rRNA from 1 species
ACGCUCGACACCUACGGGAGGCAGCAGUGGGGAAUAUUGCACAAUGGGGGAAACCCUGAUGCAGCGACGCCGCGUGAAGGAAGAAGUAUUUCGGUAUGUAAACUUCUAUCAGCAGGGAAGAAACUGACGGUACCUGACUAAGAAGCACCGGCUAAAUACGUGCCAACAGCCGCGGUAAUCUGAGCGGGCUGGCAAGGC